rnacentral:tRNA from 1 species
GCCGGUGUGGCGGAAUUGGUAGACGCGCUGGAUUCAAAAUCCAGUGUCCGAUGAGGACGUAUCGGUUCGAGCCCGAUCACCGGUA